GACGAACGCUGGCGGCGUGCCUAAUACAUGCAAGUUGAGCGCUGAAGGUUGGUACUUGUACCAACUGGAUGAGCAGCGAACGGGUGAGUAACGCGUGGGGAAUCUGCCUUUGAGCGGGGGACAACAUUUGGAAACGAAUGCUAAUACCGCAUAAAAACUUUAAACACAAGUUUUAAGUUUGAAAGAUGCAAUUGCAUCACUCAAAGAUGAUCCCGCGUUGUAUUAGCUAGUUGGUGAGGUAAAGGCUCACCAAGGCGAUGAUACAUAGCCGACCUGAGAGGGUGAUCGGCCACAUUGGGACUGAGAUACGGCCCAAACUCCUACGGGAGGCAGCAGUAGGGAAUCUUCGGCAAUGGACGAAAGUCUGACCGAGCAACGCCGCGUGAGUGAAGAAGGUUUUCGGAUCGUAAAACUCUGUUGGUAGAGAAGAACGUUGGUGAGAGUGGAAAGCUCAUCAAGUGACGGUAACUACCCAGAAAGGGACGGCUAACUACGUG
rnacentral:rRNA from 1 species